CACAGAAGUUUUUUCAGCUACUGUAAAUUUCUUUGAGAACAUUCAUUUCAUAUUUGCCCAAAUGCCUGCACUCAUCUCCUUCUCUAAAGCAUCUAUUUUCUAAAAGACAAAAGUGGCCAAGCUAUUGUGCUUCCACCGGAUGCAUCUCAUCAGCAGUUUGGCUGCAGGAGAAAAUGAACCAUUAAGCUUUCGUUUCUUGCCUUUGAAUCACUUCUAGAGAAUCCUCUGCCUUCACCUCUUCGAGAGUUCCAGUUCUAAGGACACAAAGGGAAGAGCCUGCACAAUUCUUGCAAUUGCUGUUCCUAAGUGUGCUUUGCUGAUAUGGAAACACAAUCAAUCAUGAUUCAAACAGGUGUGUGCACAUGCUCCAGACUAACAGCAUCUGUUCAGGUCAGUUCUGCAAACAAGAGGCACAAUCCAUACAGCUGAAGCUUUGUCAAGUAAGAACAACAGAAGUCAUUUAAUGGAGGACACAAGAAGGCUUCUUUAUACCAAAUAAAUUUGAUUUUCUUUGAA